UACGUAGGGUGCGAGCGUUGCCCGGAUUUAUUGGGCGUAAAGGGCGCGUAGGCGGCCACGCACGUCCGUUGUGAAAUCGCCCGGCUCAACUGGGCGGGGUCGGCGGAUACGGCGUGGCUGGAGCAAGCUAGGGGGCAAUGGAAUUCCCGGUGUAGUGGUGGAAUGCGUAGAUAUCCGGAGGAACACCAGUGGCGAAGGCGGCUUCCUGGCCCGAAUCUGACGCUGAGGUGCGAAAGCGUGGGGAGCGAUCCGG
rnacentral:rRNA from 1 species